rnacentral:rRNA from 1 species
CUAUACAUGACUCUGCGCAUAUCAAUAAGCGGAGGAAAAGAAACUAACAAGGAUUCCCCUAGUAACGGCGAGUGAAGCGGGAAGAGCUCAAAUUUGAAAUCUUCAAGGUUUUACCUUGACGAAUUGUAGUUUAAAGAAGUGUUUUCGGUUAGAGGAGUGGUAAAAGUUCUUUGGAAUAGGACAUCAUAGAGGGUGAGAAUCCCGUAUUUGGAUCCAUUACUUCCCAGCUGUGUGAUACACUUUCAAAGAGUCGGAUUGUUUGGGAAUGCAGUCCAAAAUGGGUGGUAAAUUUCAUCUAAAGCUAAAUAUUGGCGAGAGACCGAUAGCGAACAAGUACCGUGAGGGAAAGAUGAAAAGAACUUUGAAAAGAGAGUUAAACAGUACGUGAAAUUGUCAAAAGGGAAGCGUUUGACACCAGUGUUGUUUUCUCGAAAAUCAAUUACGAAUGUUUUAUUUUUGAGAAGUUAUGACUUCAUCGGCUUGCUUCCUUUCUUUAUGAAACUUUCUUAAUGCACUUUUCGGUUAACAAGUCAACAUCAAUUUCUUUUGUUGUAAAAGGGUAUGAGGAAGGUGGCUUUCUUUUCGGAGAAAGUGUUUAUAGCCUUGUACCUCUAGCAAUCGGAGAGAUUGAGGUCUGCAGCGUAGAUCCUUCGGGGUUAGAUACAGUUUGUGCUAAGUUAUAGCUUUUCAUAGACAACUUGUUGACUAUGUUUAGUCUUGUAGCUUACUCGCUGAUGCUAUUUUACCUACGCUUAGGAUGUUGACGAUCAGCUGAGCGCG